rnacentral:rRNA from 1 species
UACAGAGGCCUCGAGCGUUUAGGCGGAAUCACUGGGCUUAAAGCGUGUGUAGGUGGAUGCCCUAAGUGCCUUGUGAAAUCCCAUGGCUUAACCAUGGAAUUGCUUGGCAUACUGGCGAUCUUGGGCCAUUCAGGGGGCAACUGGAACAAGCGGUGGAGCGGUGAAAAUGCGUAGAUAAUCGCUUGGAACGCCAAAGGGUGAAAAACAGGUUGCUGGGAAUGUGCCGA